UACGUAGGGUGCAGGCGUUAAUCGGAAUUACUGGGCGUAAAGCGUACGCAGGCGGCUUUGCAAGACAGGUGUGAAAUCCCCGGGCCUAACCUGGGAACUGCAUUUGUGACUGCAUGGCUAGAGUUUGUCAGAGGGGGGUGGAAUUCCACGUGUAGCAGUGAAAUGCGUAGAUAUGUGGAGGAACACCGAUGGCGAAGGCAGCCCCCUGGGAUGUGACUGACGCUCAUGUACGAAAGCGUGGGGAGCAAACAGG
rnacentral:rRNA from 1 species